rnacentral:rRNA from 1 species
UACGGGGGAGGCAAGCGUUGUUCGGAAUUACUGGGCGUAAAGGGCGCGUAGGCGGCCUGUUGCGUCAGGAGUGAAAGCCCCGGGUUGAACCUGGGAUGUGCACUUGAUACGGGCGGGCUGGAAUCCGGGAGAGGAUGGUGGAAUUCCCAGUGUAGAGGUGAAAUUCGUAGAUAUUGGGAAGAACACCGAUGGCGAGGGCAGCCAUCUGGACCGGCAUUGACGCUGAGUCGCGGAUCCGUGGGGAGCAAACAGG